rnacentral:miRNA from 1 species
UCGCGUUGCAGCAGAUAAGUCU